GGGCUACACACGUGCUACAAUGGCGGUGACAGUGGGAAGCUACAUGGCGACAUGGUGCUGAUCUCUAAAAGCCGUCUCAGUUCGGAUUGUACUCUGCAACUCGAGUACAUGAAGGUGGAAUCGCUAGUAAUCGCGGAUCAGCAUGCCGCGGUGAA
rnacentral:rRNA from 1 species